rnacentral:rRNA from 1 species
UACGAAGGGGGCUAGCGUUGCUCGGAAUCACUGGGCGUAAAGCGCACGUAGGCGGAUUGUUAAGUCAGGGGUGAAAUCCUGGAGCUCAACUCCAGAACUGCCUUUGAUACUGGCGAUCUUGAGUCCGGGAGAGGUGAGUGGAACUGCGAGUGUAGAGGUGAAAUUCGUAGAUAUUCGCAAGAACACCAGUGGCGAAGGCGGCUCACCUGGCCCGGUACUGACGCUGAGGUGCGAAAGCGUGGGAGCAACAGGAUAGAUACCGUUGA